rnacentral:rRNA from 1 species
GACGAACGCUGGCGGCGUGCUUAACACAUGCAAGUCGAACGGAAAGGCCCUGCUUGCAGGGUACUCGAGUGGCGAACGGGUGAGUAACACGUGGGUGAUCUGCCCUGCACUUCGGGAUAAGCCUGGGAGACUGGGUCUAAUACCGGAUAGGAGCCAUUUUUAGUGGGAUGGUUGGAAAGUUUUUUCGGUGUAGGAUGAGCUCGCGGCCUAUCAGCUUGUUGGUGGGGUAAUGGCCUACCAAGGCGGCGACGGGUAGCCGGCCUGAGAGGGUGGACGGCCACAUUGGGACUGAGAUGCGGCCCAGACUCCUACGGGAGGCAGCAGUGGGGAAGAUUGCACAAUGGGCGCAAGCCUGAUGCAGCGACGCCGCGUGGGGGAUGACGGCCUUCGGGUUGUAAACUCCUUUCGCUAGGGACGAAGCUUUUUGUGACGGUACCUAGAUAAGAAGCACCGGCUAACUACGUG